rnacentral:rRNA from 1 species
UACGUAGGGUGCGAGCGUUGUCCGGAAUUAUUGGGCGUAAAGAGCUUGUAGGCGGUUUGUCGCGUCUGCCGUGAAAAUCCGGGGCUCAACCCCGGACUUGCGGUGGGUACGGGCAGACUAGAGUGUGGUAGGGGAGACUGGAAUUCCUGGUGUAGCGGUGAAAUGCGCAGAUAUCAGGAGGAACACCGGUGGCGAAGGCGGGUCUCUGGGCCGUAACUGACGCUGAGGAGCGAAAGCCAGGGGAGCAAACGGG